rfam:Myotis lucifugus cont2.40320, whole genome shotgun sequence.
GCCAUCAUGGCUCAGUGGUUGAGCUUGGACCUGUGAACAUGGAGGUCAUGGUUCAAUUCCCUGUCGUGGCA